rnacentral:rRNA from 1 species
UACGGAGGGUGCAAGCGUUAUCCGGAUUCACUGGGUUUAAAGGGUGCGUAGGCGGACUUAUAAGUCAGUGGUGAAAUCUCGUUGCUUAACAACGAACGUGCCAUUGAUACUGUAGGUCUUGAGUACAGAUGCCGUUGGCGGAAUGUGUCAUGUAGCGGUGAAAUGCAUAGAUAUGACACAGAACACCGAUUGCGAAGGCAGCUGACGAAACUGUAACUGACGCUGAGGCACGAAAGCGUGGGGAUCAAACAGG